rnacentral:lncRNA from 1 species
UUAUAAAAUUUUGAAGUUUGUCUUUAAAGUCUGAGUGAAGUGUCCAGCUCUUACAAUGGAAAGCCAGGGAUUUUCACAUCUAUUGCAAAACGCUCUAAGUUAAAAACAAAACUCCUGGUGUUACUGUGACUAUA